GUCUGGGAUAGCUCAGUUGGUGGAACAGAAGUUGCUUAAUCUCAAGGUUGUGGGUUCGAGUCCCACAUUGGGCA